CACGACACUCGCCACCAGCCGCAGGACGCCGACAAAGAUGACGAUCCCGGGGAUCAGGAGCGGACCGGUCAUUUCUGCUAAGGCGUGGGAACCUGUCGAUCCAGCUGAGGCACGGGAGCAUGGCGACCUAGAGUGCCGGAGAGAGAGCAUACGUGACAGUACCCCAUCCCCGGCGCGUUCAGCUCCAGACUCAGGACGCCAACCACAGGGACGAUCCCGGGGAUCAGGUGCGGACUGAAAUAAACAAGAGGAAACAAGCAACGCACAGACAUGACAUUGGAACAGAAACAGUGACGCAUGGGGAAGGAACCAAAGGGGGUGACAUAUAUAAGGCAGGCAAUCAAGGAGGUGAUGGAGUCCAGGUGCAUGCCGUGCUUGCUGAAAAACAAGAGUAGGUGUCGCGUUGACAUCGUCAAACCCUGUCUCAUUUGUGUGGGAUCAUCUGAGGCUCGUCAGGCAUUCACUCCACUGCAUGGUGACAGUGUUAGGGAACAUGAGAGAUUGAGUGAGGACAAGGGAAGAGUAAUCGAUCACCAACCAGGCCCAGACCACAGUGUGAAACCCUGUCAAUACAGGAUGCUCAAACGAGACACAGAGACGAGACACAGAGAGCCGAUCCCUUUUUACUGUCAAGCAGAUAGAUCAACC
rnacentral:lncRNA from 1 species